rnacentral:rRNA from 1 species
GACGAACGCUGGCGGCGUGCUUAACACAUGCAAGUCGAACGGAAAGGCCCUGCUUUUGUGGGGUGCUCGAGUGGCGAACGGGUGAGUAACACGUGAGUAACCUGCCCUUGACUUUGGGAUAACUUCAGGAAACUGGGGCUAAUACCGGAUAGGAGCUCCUGCUGCAUGGUGGGGGUUGGAAAGUUUCGGCGGUUGGGGAUGGACUCGCGGCUUAUCAGCUUGUUGGUGGGGUAGUGGCUUACCAAGGCUUUGACGGGUAGCCGGCCUGAGAGGGUGACCGGCCACAUUGGGACUGAGCUACGGCCCAGACUCCUACGGGAGGCAGCAGUGGGGAAUAUUGCACAAUGCGCGGAAGCCUGAUGCAGCAACGCCGCGUGCGGGAUGACGGCCUUCGGGUUGUAAACCGCUUUCGCCUGUGACGAAGCGUGAGUGACGGUAAUGGGUAAAGAAGCACCGGCUAACUACGUG